rnacentral:rRNA from 1 species
CCCUUAGACGUUCUGGGCCGCACGCGCGCUACACUGACGAAGGCAACGAGCUUUCCUUUACCGAAAGGUACGGGUAAUCUUUUGAAACUUCGUCGUGCUGGGGAUAGAUCCUUGCAAUUUUUGAUCUUAAACGAGGAAUGCCUAGUAAGCGCAAGUCAUCAACUUGCGUUGAUUACGUCCCUGCCCUUUGUGCACACCGCCCGUCGCUACUACCGAUUGAAUGGUUUAGUGAGGCCUUCGGAUCCGCGACUCGUUUGUGGAGAAGUUGGACAAACUCAGUCAUUUAGAGGAAGUAAAAGUCGUAACA